UGGGGAAUCUUGCACAAUGGGGGAAACCCUGAUGCAGCGACGCCGCGUGAACGAUGAAGCCCUUCGGGGUGUAAAGUUCUUUCGACAGGAACGAUAAUGACGGUACCUGGGGAAGAAGCUGCGGCUAACUACGUGCCAGCAGCCGCGGUAAUACGUAGGCAGCGAGCGUUGUUCGGAGGUACUGGGCGUAAAGAGUGCGUAGGCGGCGAGCCAAGUUUGGUGUGAAAUCUCCCGGCUUAACCGGGAGGGUGCGCCGAAAACUGGUUGGAUGGAGUAUGGGAGAGGAAAGCGUAAUUCCUGGUGUAGCGGUGAAAUGUGUAGAUAUCAGGAGGAACACCUGCGGUGUAGACAGCUUUCUGGACCAAAACUGACGCUGAGGCACGAAAGCGUGGGUAGCAAACA
rnacentral:rRNA from 1 species